UACGGAGGAUCCAAGCGUUAUCCGGAAUCAUUGGGUUUAAAGGGUCCGUAGGCGGUUUUAUAAGUCAGUGGUGAAAUCCGGCAGCUCAACUGUCGAACUGCCAUUGAUACUGUAGGACUUGAAUUAUUGUGAAGUAACUAGAAUAUGUAGUGUAGCGGUGAAAUGCUUAGAUAUUACAUGGAAUACCCAUUGCGAAGGCAGGUUACUAACAAUACAUUGACGCUGAUGGACGAAAGCGUGGGGAGCGAACAGG
rnacentral:rRNA from 1 species